rfam:Triticum aestivum genome assembly, contig: Triticum_aestivum_CS42_TGACv1_scaffold_404301_5BL
CAUGUACUCCCUUCGUAUGGAAAUACUUGUCAUCAAAAUGAAUAAAAGGGGAUGUAUCUAGAUGUAUUUUAGUUCUAGAUACAUUCUUUUUUGUCUAUUUUAAUGACAAGUAUUCUCGGACGGAGGGAGUAUAUC